AUGCAAUUUAGGCUGCUUCUUAAAGCGCAUUUGAUCCUGUUAAAAUGCCCUCUCAGACCCAUCUCAUAUUCCGAAGCAACAGUGAGACUUCCAGCCAUACAAAUGAGCGCCAAAGCCAUCUCCCUCUAUUGCUGUAUACCUGCUGCAUUUCUGCUCUUCUUUGCCCAUCUCAAUAACCCAACCACUUCAUUCCUUCGAGCUCUGCUUGAUCUUGCAACACCACCCCUAACAUUUAAUUUGCUUACUGUUCAUUAUUUUUCUAACUAUCAUCGCCAUCUUGGUUCGUAUAACCCGCUCUGUGAUGAUUUCCCGCCAGACUUCCCACCGCCUAACACCGCAGCAACAUCGAUCUUCUGUGUCGACCCCAACGGCUGCUGCGACUUCACCACAGUGCAGUCCGCGGUUGAUGCUGUGCCAAGAUCCAGCCAAAAGAGGAACGUUGUGUGGAUCAACAAGGGCAUCUAUUUUGAGAAAGUAACAGUCCCUGCUACAAAGCCCAACAUCACAUUCCAGGGGCAGGGAUUUGAUCUGACGGCAAUCAUGUGGAACGACACCGCCAACUCAUCACAUGGAACCUUCUACAGCGCUUCGGUUUCUGUUUUCGCAGCCGGCUUUGUCGCAAAGAACAUCAGCUUCAUUAAUGUAGCACCAAUUCCAAGACCCGGAGAUGUUGGUGCUCAGGCAGUCGCUCUGAGGAUCGGCAGUGACCAGGCGGCAUUCUGGGGCUGCGGCUUCUUUGGGGCACAAGAUACACUGCACGAUGAUCGGGGCCGGCAUUACUUCAAGGAAUGUUUCAUUCAGGGCUCCAUCGACUUCAUCUUCGGAGAUGCUAGGUCACUCUAUGAGAACUGCAGAUUGAUUUCGAUAGCAGAUCCUGUGCCUGCAGGGGUGAGAUCCAUCACUGGUUCAGUUACUGCGCAUGCCCGGGAAUCCAACUUAGAAAACACCGGCUAUUCAUUUGUCGACUGCAGCAUCGGCGGCACCGGGUGGAUAUGGCUUGGGCGAGCGUGGAGACCUUACUCCCGUGUUGUAUUUGCAUACACUUCGAUGUCAAAUAUCAUCGCCUCCGAUGGAUGGAAUGAUUGGAGUGAUCCUUCAAGAGAUCAGAGUGUGUUUUAUGGAGAGUACAAGUGUACAGGCGAUGGCGCACACCUGGCGGGCAGAGUGCCGUACGCUCUUGAGCUCAGCGACCUGCAAGCAUUGCCUUACUUGAACACAUCUUUUAUUGACGGUGACCUAUGGCUGAAACCAUACUACGACUCACUAAUAUCUGCAUGA
rnacentral:rRNA from 1 species